AAUUGUAUUCAUGGUGGCAUUAAUCAGAGUAGGAAGUGCUUUGCUUCCAACAUACACAUCUCCCUCUAAUUGAUAAACUUCAUGUGGAGGACGGAGUAAACUUCAUGUGGAGCGUCGACGCCGAGGUGUUUGAUAAACUUCAUGUGGAGGACGGAGUAAACAACAAAAUUGCCAAUGAAAUAAGUAAUUUGAAGUGAGAUGGAAGCAGGGAUGCGACGACGGCGGCGGCGGUGAAGCGGGAGCUGGUAGUGGUGGUGAUGGAGUGUAAAAAGCAAUGAGGACCACCGUUGAUGAGCUCCUAGUCGUCUUCUUCUCCCCAACCCGCCGUGGACUGAUGAGAUAUUCUGUAAGUCGCCAUUAAUCUUUAAGCUUAAGGCACUCAAGAGAACGAGUAAAAUGGUGGAGUUAGGGUUUGAGGAUUUUGAAAAGGGGAAGGGAACAAAUGAC
rnacentral:lncRNA from 1 species